GACGAACGCUGGCGGCGUGCUUAAUACAUGCAAGUCAACUGAGCUUAAGGUAGCAAUAUCUUAAGUGCGGUGGCGCACGGGUGAGUAACACGUAGGUAAUCUGCCUUUAGGUCUGACAUAAUCCCGCGAAAGCGGGACUAAAAUCAGAUGAUGCAGCGGCUCGACAUCGAGACAGUUGUUAAACCUUCGGGGCCUAAAGAUGAGCCUGCGUCUGAUUAGGUAGUUGGCGGAGUAAAAGCCCACCAAGCCUGCGAUCAGUAGCUGGUCUGAGAGGAUGAUCAGCCUGAUCGGGACUGAGACACGGCCCGAACUCCUACGGGAGGCAGCAGUAGGGAAUUUUGCGCAAUGGACGAAAGUCUGACGCAGCGACGCCGCGUGCGGGAUGAAGGCUCUCGGGUUGUAAACCGCUUUUACACGGGAAUAAUAAUGAAGGUACCGUGCGAAUAAGCAUCGGCUAACUCCGUGCCAGCAGCCGCGGUAAUU
rnacentral:rRNA from 1 species